rnacentral:tRNA from 1 species
UCCGUAGCCAAGUGGUAAGGCACGGGACUGCAACUCCCUGAUCGCUGGUUCAAAUCCGGUCGGG